rnacentral:lncRNA from 1 species
GCACACUCUAGACCUGGUUAUCACAAAGGGCCUCAAUGUUUCUGAUCUCUCUGUGACUGAUCCUUCCUUGUCUGACCACUUUUUCCGACAUACAGACAAAAUCAAAUACUGUCAAAAAACGGUAUAUCAAUGAAGAACCCAUGUUCUGCUGAUGAUCUUGUAGAAAACUUUAAUUUGAAAAUUUUGAAAGUCAUGGAUGUCAUUGCACCUUAUAAGGUUAAAACGAUUUCUGGAAAGCAAAAGGCACCCUGGAGAAAAGCUGCUUCUGUAACAGCACAGAAAAAAGAAUGCAGGAAGGUUGAACGCAUCUGGCGUAAAACAAAACUUCAUAUUCACCAUGAUAUCUACAAAGAGAGCCUCCUUGCCUACAAUUUUGACUUAAAAAGUGCUAGAGAAACAUUUUUCUCCAAUAUCAUAAAAACCAAUACUAAUAAUGCAAAAACCCUAUUUGCAACUGUUGACAGACUGACCAACCCCCCAACACAAAUUCCACCUGAUCUCCAUUCCACGCAGAAAUGCAAUGAGUUUGCAGCUUUUUAUACUGAUAAAAUUGAAGGCAUCGGACGCGCCAUCAAUAUCUCCACUUCAAACAAAAAUGUUGGACUACCACCCUGUUCAGGCAAAAGUAACGUGGCAGGGAUGACAUGUUUUAAUGUUAUAGACUCUAAAACUCUUGUGGAAACUGUUACACAACUAAAGCCAUCCACCUGUUGCCUUGAUUCUUUACCUACCAACCUCUUUAAGAAUGUUUUUGACUGCCUAGCAAUAGACAUAUUGCAGAUAGUUAACAACUCUCUCCAGUCAGGCAACUUCCCAAAAGCCCUGAAAACUGCAGUUAUUAAACCCCUUUUAAAAAAGCGGAGCCUAGAUACUUCUAUUAUUAACAACUACAGACCAAUAUCAAAUCUACCCUUCAUAAGUAAAAUCAUUGAGAAAGUUGUCCUCCAGCAACUUAAUCACUUCCUGAGGCCUGUUUCAGGUAGCUGGUUUAACAUACUCUGAGUUUAAUCCUGCGCUCUGAGUUGGUUGACUCAGAGUUCAGGGUUGAAAAGCAACUCUGGGUUUUCGGUUUCAGAACAGUGGGGUGUUCCACAAAGCCGGUUUUAUCACAUAACCGGGUAUAGUACAGCGGAUAAGCAUAACAAUUGUGCACUUUUUGAGAAAAGCAUGAAAUUUC